GCGCGGGUGGCGGAAUGGCAGACGCGCUAGCUUGAGGUGCUAGUCCUGGAAACGGGGUGAGGGUUCAAGUCCCUUUCCGCGCA
rnacentral:tRNA from 4 species